rnacentral:rRNA from 1 species
GGCCAGACUCCUACGGGAGGCAGCAGUGAGGAAUAUUGGUCAAUGGGCGCAGGCCUGAACCAGCCAAGUCGCGUGAGGGAAGACUGCCCUAUGGGUUGUAAACCUCUUUUAUAAGGGAAGAAUAAUGACUACGUGUAGUCAGAUGCCCGUACCUUAUGAAUAAGCAUCGGCUAACUCCGUGCCAGCAGCCGCGGUAAUACGGAGGAUGCGAGCGUUAUCCGGAUUUAUUGGGUUUAAAGGGUGCGCAGGCGGAGGUGCAAGUCAGCGGUCAAAUUGCGGGGCUCAACCCCGUACUGCCGUUGAAACUGCAUCCCUUGAGUGCGCGAGAAGUAUGCGGAAUGCGUGGUGUAGCGGUGAAAUGCAUAGAUAUCACGCAGAACUCCGAUUGCGAAGGCAGCAUACCGGCGCGCAACUGACGCUCAUGCACGAAAGCGUGGGUAUCGAACAGGAUUAGAUACCCCGGUA